rnacentral:rRNA from 1 species
UACGUAGGGUGCGAGCGUUAAUCGGAAUUACUGGGCGUAAAGUGUGCGCAGGCGGCCGAGCAAGUCGAGUGUGAAAGCCCCGAGCUUAACUUGGGAACUGCGCUCGAAACUACUUGGCUAGAGUGUGGCAGAGGGAGGUGGAAUUCCACGUGUAGCGGCGAAAUGCGUAGAGAUGUGGAGGAACACCGAUGGCGAAGGCAGCCUCCUGGGCCAACACUGACGCUCAUGCACGAAAGCGUGGGGAGCAAACAGG